rnacentral:rRNA from 1 species
AGAAUCAACGCUGGCGGCGUGCCUAACACAUGCAAGUCGAACGAGAAAGUGGAGCAAUCCAUGAGUAAAGUGGCGACCGGGUGAGUAACACGUGACUAACCUACCCUCGAGUGGGGAAUAACAUCGGGAAACCGAUGCUAAUACCGCAUAACAUCGCAAGAUCAAAGCAGAAAUGCGCUUGAGGAGGGGUCGCGGCUGAUUAGCUAGUUGGUAGGGUAAUGGCCUACCAAGGCUUAGAUCGGUA